CUUGGCUUUCAAAGACCUCUGAUCCAUGGAUGAUCCAUAAAGAAUUUGGUAUUAUUAAAAGUACAGACAGUAGCGCUGAACAGGACACUUCACAACGACAGCGCCAUAUUUAGUCGAGGCUCAAGGUAUGUGCUUUAUACGUUUUGCUGUGAUAUAACAUUAAUACUGUCGUUUGUUCUAUUGUCAUUUCGCUGCAAGUUAUUUUCGUUUAGCUUUAGUUUUAUGAAAUAAAAUUUAUACACAUAAACAAAUAUUAUCGAAGGAAAACCCUCACAGAAUUUAUUCAUUCGGCCACAACAAUCCAGUGUUAUUUUAUAGCCGUUUUUGUUUGCUAGCGCUAUUAAUAUAUCUAUCAAAGGUGGGUUUAAUAACUUUAAUAGCGCUAAUCUUGUGUUAAAAUUUAACGUGCUGUUUUCGUUUGUGUAUUUCUGCACGUAUGUUUAUUUCAAAACUUCAGAGAAGUAAACUCUGAUCAAGACAAGAUCUCGGAAGAAAUAUUUCCAAUUUUAUAGACAAGCUGCCAGGAAGUUUGCCUUGAAUUUUGGUGAUUUGAACUAUCAAAUGAAAGUUUCAAACAUAUUUAUACAAAAUACCGGUCGCUCCAAUGUCAAGGUGAACGAGAAAGAGGGGGUGGGUGCCACACGGCUUUAGUUUGCUCAUGCAUGUCUUGCUUAACUUAGAAAGUAUAUGUAUGUGUUGUUUAUCUGACAUUGGAUCGCAAUAUCAAAGUCUAUUUGCCAGACAGUGGCUGACACAAGUUCUCCUUGUUUGUUCAAUGUGUAGUUAAGUUGUGCAGACAUCUGCCUACUGUGCUAGGUUACAUACCAUAAAUCUCCGACUAUAAGCCCUGGGGCUUGUCGUAGAGAUUUUUGAUGUAUGGGCUUAUACAGGGGGGCUUAUAUAGGGGGGGGGGACUUAUACAUGGAUGAUCUUUUGUGUUAGUGUAAAAGUGAUAAACAAGAAUAUUACCAUAAUAGUGAUAAACAAGUGUUAAGCAUAGUAAUAAUAGUGAUUAAUAGUGAUAUUCAGGGAGGCUUAUAUUUGUAAUGAGGUGAGCGUUAGUACAUGUGGUGGGCUUAUGGAGGGGGGGGGGGGUUGGGGGGCUUAUAUUUGGGGGUUUACAGUAUCGAAUCACAAGGUUAGUUAAGUCACACUUCCAAAAUUGAACACAUUUAACUGCCUCCUCUUGAUUUGAUUUAUUAAUUGCAUUGGGCACCAAUAUGCUCUAUUUUAUUACUUGACUCUGUCUAAUGCCAGAUGAUUUUAUUUGCUUAGGGUCUCCCAUGAAUGGGUUAAAACCAUUGUGUCGAAUGGGUUAAUUGUAUGUAUAUUAUGUUCUGGGAUCAGGUCAACUUUCGUACAGUGUUUCAAUUGUGUCACUAUCAGAGUGAUGCUCAUGCCUGGCAACCUCGUUCCCAAGGCUUUCAUGUGAGGACGAAUGGAGAGACGAGAAAGCCCUGGUCUGGGCCACUCAAUUUUGCAUUCUGAUUGGCUAACACCAUAUUGUCUAAAAAUAACUGAACUUGAAAGUUGACAAUAACAAUUCAACAUUUGUAUUUUUAUGAUUCUUGUGUGUACGAGUAUGUUUUGUAAAAUAAUCUUUCAAAGUAAGAUGUUUCCCGACUGCAUGAUUUACUUUCGCCUAGGCCGGUUACAAAGCUCAAAAGCCGUGUCGACAUUAAGCAGUAGUUUACUUGAAAAUCUCCAGAAAUAUCUGUAUAUCUUAGAAGACAUAGACGGGGAUCUUCAGAGAUAUCAGCUGAUUUGCGCCAAACUUCGCUACACAGCAUAAAUAAUAUCGAUUGAGAAGCGUUUUGGCUGUUUAUUUGUUUCGAAGACUUGUAUAUUUCAUUAAAGAAUAUCUCGCCACUCCUUGACGAGUAGCUGUCAAAUACUGCCAUUUUUGGGGUAGUCAUGUGACUGGCCCAGAACAGGGCUUUCUCGUCUCUCCCCUCGUCCUCACAUGAAAGCCCUGAGAACGUGGUUGCAUGCCUGGUUAUCGAAAAAUAUUGGCGAGGGCAUUGUCCAGCUAGAGAAGGAAUUUGGUAUGAAUAUUGUUCGUACUCAAUUUCUGGGGUUUUUUUAGGGACUGCUCAUUUAUUGUACAGGGGGAGACUGAGGAGAAACUGUACUUUCUUUGCCCCCUCUUAAGACAAGUAAAAUUUUCAAAGCCCCCCCCCCAACAGGCAAAACAAGAACAUAAAUUCCCCCCCCUCUAGCUCUUUAUCUUUAUUUAGAGAAACAAAAACUCUAGCCCUUUAUUUAGAGAAACAAAAAUAGAUAAUGGGGACCAAUAGACAAAUCUCAUUAUAGACUAAUUUUUUAUCUUAGCAAAAAAAGUAUAUUCCCGGGAAGGGCUUACUAAAAUUAGUAAAAUUGCAAAGUUUGGUUGCAAAAUGUUGUAAAAUGUAGAAAAUAAGACUUCCAAAGUUUGCAAAUUUUGUAUACUUUUGUAUUGCAAUUUUCGCAUGCAAUACAAAAGUAUACAAAAUUUGCAAACUUUGCAAGGCUAUAUUUUCCAUAUUUUACAACAUUUCGCAACCAAACUUUGCAAUAAUUUACUUAUUUUAGUAUGCUCUUUCUAGCUGUGGUAAUUUAUUUGCAUCAAGGCCGGAUUUUGAGGGGAGGUGUGGAUAGGUGCGCACCUCCACUGAGAUCGUUUUGCACCUCCCCUGAGAAUUUUUCACCUGAAAUGUCAUGCACCUCCCCUUGGGAAAGUUUCAAUGAUGGAACAAAGUGAAAAUGUGAUGGUUGCUUAGGGUCUACACUUCGUGACGUAAGAAAGUUUUCUCUGUAAAAUUGAAACAGUGAUAGCCAUUCAUCUCUGAGUCAGGUACCCUUUUAAUGCAAUGUUUUGAAAGAAACUUUGUAGUAAUUGUAGUGAAGGGCAAGAUUGGAGUCAUACAGUCAUAAUUCAUUAAUACACUGGUACAUAUGUACACUACAUCAUACCUCACCUUGUUGAUAUUGGGGGGUAUGAGCUAGACCGCUGCACCUACCCUAAAUUUUUUUCCACCUCCCCCACUAUUUUCACCAAAAUCCGGCCUUGAUUUGCAUCUCUUCGCCUAGUUCUAAAAAUUAGUCUGUAAUGGGAAUUGUCUAUUUACAUGAACAUAAAAGACUUUUUAUUUGGCUUCCAUUUAUGAAUAUUAAAGGUCUAUAAACAUUGUUAUUUGUUGUUAAGUUGUUUUCUGAUACAUUUUUAAAACUACUAAUGUUUUUUGAAACUGGUAAAUCUUUUCAAAGCCCCCCUUAUUUCGUCUCUCUUUGUUUUUUCAAAGCCCCCCCCCCUUUCAGGUUUUAAAAAAUUUAAAGCCCCCCACCCCCACCCCAGUUUCUCCUCAAUCACGCCUGUACAAUACAUAAUGAGCGGUCCCUUAGUGAAAUCGCCUAUUUGGGCACUUCCUCAAUGUAUGAGCAACCGAAAUAGCCCAAUCAUAAUUUUAGCUUAGUGGUUGCAAAGACUAAAAUAUGCACUAAGUUAGCCCAUAUACAUAACAGUCCAUAGGUAUCUAUAACACUCCAUAGCUAUCUAUAACUGGAAAUGUGUUGUCACUUGUCACACUGUCUCUCUAGACCUUGUAUUCAACAAAAUUACAAGUUUCAUAUGCAGGGCAAUAGUGGGUGAAUAAAUCGGGCUUAAAAUGGGGGAUUUGUGGUGUUAAAGUCCCAGAACUCAGAGUGGUGUUAUUGUUGUAGCUAUGGCCGAGGCUAGGAUAAUGCAACAAAGAACUCAAAGUAAAACAGAACGUCAUGCAGGAGUAAUUUCAGAUUGAAUGCGGGAGUAAUUAUAAGUAUCUGAACGAAUUGUAUUUAGUACUGAAAAAUACACUAUGCUAAACUUUGAUCACAGUUCUCAUUUGUAUCAUUUCUCAUUCAUUUAUUGUGACAUAAUUUUGACUACUGUACCAAAUUCUCAUUCAUUGAGAUCAAAUUUUGCAGUAAAUGUGUAAGUAUGCUAUCGCAUUUCCUAAAUCAAUGCGUUUUUGUAUAAAUAGUGUGUUAUAUUGUUUUAAUUAGUCAAUCGACAUUUGUAUAAAUAGUGUGUUAUAUUGUUUUAAUUAGUCAAUCGACAUCUAUAUUUUGGAUAUUUCAUUCAUGUAACAAAAACUAAACUGUAGUUAUAAUUUAUAAAUGUUUUCGAGUAUGUACUAUCCCCAGGCAUUUGGUUAGCAGAUUAAUUCAAUCAACUACAGUAUUUAUCAUGGGAGAAUUUUAUUUUACAUUUCAAUAUUUACAGCGGAAGUAGAGAUGUAUCUAAAACAAAUUAGAUUUGGUAAAGAACAAGUUGCUUCUAUAAGUGACUGACACAAGUUUUAGCAAGUCUUGAAAGUCAUCAUUUAUUAGCAUUAUAUAAAGUAGUUGAAGGGUCUUGUAAAUGGAAAUUAUCGAGUGGAAAUUUAUAUAUAUUUAUUAGCCUAGACCUAACCAGAAACAGUUGUGAAAAAUUCAUCUACAGGCCCCUGUCAGGAAUUGAACUUGCGGCCCUGUGAUAGUGGUACUGGCAAUACAGUGCUUUAACCAACUGAGGUACAGACACCAGUUGUCAAGCUCUAACGACAAGUUCAUGUAUAUACUGUAUGUACUGCCACAUGUUGGUUAUGGGUAAAUAUCAAGAUUUUGUUGGCAUCGCACUUGAUUGAAUAACAGUUGAAGGAUCAUGUACAUGAAAAUCUAGUAUUACCAUUAUAUACUUCUGAUUAUUGAAAAACCACACCGGGCAGGCUUGAAAAAUAUGCCUGUCCACGGUGGUAAUCGAACCUACGACCUUUGGAAUACUAGCCCAAUGCUCUGCCAACUGAGCUACGCGGUCAGGUCGGUUCGAGUAUGCAAUAUUUCGGAACUGAGUCUAGUUCCUUCGAUAGUUUACACUGAUAUCGAAGGAACUAGACUCAGUUCCGAAAUAUCUCACACUCGAACCGACCUGACCGCAUAGCUCAGUUGGCAGAGCAUUGGGCUAGUAGUCCAAAGGUUGUAGGUUCAAUUCCCACCGUUGCCAGGCAUAUUGUUCAAGCCUGCCCGGUGUGGAUUCACACUCAGAGUAACAUCACAAGCAUCUUAUUCACCUGAGUACACUACACCAACACAGCAAAUAUCAUGAUUAUUAGAUUACACUGAUAUCGAAGGAACUAGACUCAGUUCCGAAAUAUCGCAUACUCGAACCGACCUGACCGCGUAGCUCAGUUGGCAGAGCAUUGGGCAAGUAUUCCAAAGGUCGUAGGUUCGAUUCCCACCGUGGCCAGGCAUAUUGUUCAAGCCUGCCCGGUGUCGAUUCACACCCAAGAGUAACAUCACAAGCAUCUUAUUCACCUGAGUACACUACACCAACACAGCAAAUAUCACAUUGUAUAAUUGUUUAUGACUUCAUGAGUUCAUGUGAAACCACUACCAUAGGAAGCAAUUUUGUAUGGGGGGGGGGGGCUGAUUAAUCAGUGGCGAUUAUUAGGUCAUUAUUUCCCUCUCAAACUUUACAGAUUUUCGCUAGUUUACAAAUUAUUUGGGGUGCUGCAGACCAUAAACCACCACCACCACAACCCCCCCCCCCAACCCCACCCCGGUUGCUACAGCCCUGGGAAACACAAUGCCAACUUUGAGGCCACUGAACAUUAAGUAUAGCACUACUACUUUAAUCCAAACAUGUGGUAUAAAUCUGAUGUUUAUACCAUGCAUUUGUCCUUCUACUGUAUAUAGUCCGAUCACUUUAUAUGCAUUCACUUUCUGACAAAAGUUUUGUUUUCACUUUUCAGUCUGAUUCUUCAUUACUACUUCCAACAUUUUUCCCACAUGAUGUUCUUUUUACUUCCUGUUCUUUAUCACAUUAUAAAGACAAAAGACUUGAACAACUAGCGACAGAUCCUAGCCUCGCCCAUAGCUACAACACACUAAGUUCUGUGACUUUAAUCACCACAAGACUCCUUCUAAGCUUGAUUUAUUCCACACUAUUGCCCUACAUAUGAAACUGUUUUAUUUCCUGCAGGUAUAGUGUUUUUGCCGUUCCAUAUAACACACUCUAUAGCUAUGAGCUAUCUAUAUAUAAUCUCCAUAUUGUAUCUAUAACACUAUUAUAGAUAUAAUUAUAGCUACAAUAACUAAUAAGUUAAAAAUAUAUCAUUGAAGUUCUUACUGUGCAGUAAGUACAAUUUUCAGCUGUUUUGAUGCUGAUAGAUUUACAUACACUUAAUUCCUCAUACUAUAUGUAUGCACUACAGUAUGUAUUAAUAUAUUUUCUUUCUGUUAAUUGUCUGGCCGGUUUUGUAGAACCCAGUAAGAGGUUUGAGAAACCAUGUAAAGUAAAAACUGUUUAUGAUACUGUACGGUAUGUAUAUACUUGAAAGAUAAAUGUGCUUCUUAACUUUCUUUGCAGGAUUUAUCGGUUUUGAAAGAUGUUCCAUCUUUAUUGUCAUUGACAAAUGAAAAACUGCCUUUGAAUUAUAAAUUGCCAAAGGAAUGUGUUUAUCUGCCGGGCUUCCACCUUCACUCGAAUUCCAAGUUGCACACGGAUGCAAGGAGGCAGAUUCGCCAUUUUAUGAAAAGCCAGAAAGCAAAAGACGCAGACUGAUUGCUGUUCCACAUUGACUAUAAGUAUAUCACGAACGGUUUUUAUAACAGC
rnacentral:tRNA from 1 species